rnacentral:rRNA from 1 species
GUUAGGAAUAUUGGACAAUGGGCGCAAGCCUGAUCCAGCCAUGCCGCGUGAGUGAUGAAGGCCUUCGGGUUGUAAAGCUCUUUAGUCCACGAAUAUAAUGACUGUAGUGGAAGAAUAAGCCCCGGCUAACUUCGUGCCAGCAGCCGCGGUAAUACGAAGGGGGCGAGCGUUAUUCGGAAUCACUGGGCGUAAAGCGUGCGUAGGCUGUUUUGUAAGUCAGAAGUGAAAGCCCAGGGCUUAACCCUGGAAUUGCUUUUGAAACUACAAGACUCGAAUUCGGGAGAGGAUAGCGGAAUUGUCAGUGUAGCAGUGAAAUGCGUAGAUAUUGACAGGAACACCAGUGGCGCAAGCGGCUAUCUGGACCGAUAUUGACGCUGAGGCACGAAAGCGUGGGGAGAAAACAGGAUUAGAUACCCGUGUAGUCC